rnacentral:rRNA from 1 species
CCUACGGGUGGCAGCAGUGGGGAAUAUUGGGCAAUGGGCGCAAGCCUGACCCAGCAACGCCGCGUGAAGGAAGAAGGCUUUCGGGUUGUAAACUUCUUUUGUCAGGGACGAAGCAAGUGACGGUACCUGACGAAUAAGCCACGGCUAACUACGUGCCAGCAGCCGCGGUAAUACGUAGGUGGCAAGCGUUAUCCGGAUUUACUGGGUGUAAAGGGCGUGUAGGCGGGGAAGCAAGUCAGAUGUGAAAACCACGGGCUCAACCUGUGGCCUGCAUUUGAAACUGUUUUUCUUGAGUGCUGGAGAGGCAAUCGGAAUUCCGUGUGUAGCGGUGAAAUGCGUAGAUAUCUGGAGGAACACCGGUGGCGAAGGCGGCCACCUGGACGACAACUGACGCUGAGGUGCGAAAGCGUGGGUAGCAAACAGGAUUAGAUACCCUUGUAGUC